rnacentral:rRNA from 1 species
AGCAGCCGCGGUAAUUCCAGCUCCAAUAGCGUAUAUUAAAGUUGUUGCAGUUAAAAAGCUCGUAGUUGAAUUUCGGGGUUAGUAGGUUGGUCAUGCCUCUGGUAUGUACUGGUCUCACUGAUUCCUCCUUCCUGAUGAGCCGUAAUGCCAUUAAUUUGGUGUUGCGGGGAAUUUGGACUGUUACUUUGAAAAAAUUAGAGUGUUUAAAGCAAGCUAACGCUUGAAUACAUUAGCAUGGAAUAAUGAAAUAGGACGUUCGAUCCUAUUUUGUUGGUUUCUAGGAUUGACGUAAUGAUUAAUAGGGAUAGUUGGGGGCAUUAGUAUUCAAUUGUCAGAGGUGAAAUUCUUGGAUUUAUUGAAGACUAACUACUGCGGAAGCAUUUGCCAAGGAUGUUUUCAUUAAUCAAGAACGAAAGUUAGGGGAUCGAAGACGAUCAGAUACCGUCGUAG